UACGUAGGUGGCGAGCGUUGUCCGGAUUUACUGGGCGUAAAGAGCGCGCAGGCGGUCGUGCAAGUCGCGUGUGAAAGCCCCCGGCUCAACUGGGGAGGGUCACGCGAUACUGCUCGACUGGAAGGCAGGAGAGGGAAGUGGAAUUCCCGGUGUAGUGGUGAAUGCGUAGAGAUCGGGAGGAACACCAGUGGCGAAGGCGGCGCGCUGGGCCGGUCCUGACGCUGAGACGCGAAGGCGUGGGGAGCGAACGGG
rnacentral:rRNA from 1 species